rnacentral:piRNA from 1 species
AGUCCAGAACCAGAACCAGAGGCACAUA